rnacentral:rRNA from 1 species
CCAAUAGGGGCGGUUUAACACUUGCAAGUCGAGCGCGUAGCAUACGAGCGGCAGACGGGUGAGUAACGCGGGGGAAUCUACCCAUCACUAGGGAAUAACUCAUGGAAACUUGUGCUAAUACCCUAUACGACCGAGAGGUGAAAGAUUUAUCGGUGAUGGAUGAGCCCGCGUUGGAUUAGCUAGUUGGUGGGGUAAAGGCCUACCAAGGCGACGAUCCAUAGCUGGUCUGAGAGGAUGAUCAGCCACACUGGGACUGAGACACGGCCCAGACUCCUACGGGGAGGCAGCAUUGGGGAAUAUUGGACAAUGGGCGCAAGCCUGAUCCACCCUUGCCGCGUGAGUGAUGAAGGCCCUAGGUUUGAAAGCUCUUCUCCCCGGUAAAAAUAAGGACGUUCCCAGGAGAAAAACCCCCGGUAAAUUUCGACCCACCCCCCCGUUAUUCCAGGGGGGUUAGGGUUUUUUAAAUUUCCGGGGGUAAACCAAAUUAGGGGGCUUAAAAUUCGGGGGAAAACCCGGGC